CAAAUAACAAUUGUGGUUUACGCUCGGACUGGUAUGUGUGAGAUAAUGGUGCGGGGAAAUUUUGCUUCGCUUGUGCUUUCUGAUCGAGGCUGCUGGAUCUUUUCGAAACCCCAGCGAUGCUUGCGGAGGAUUUCAAUCUUUGUACAGUGAUCGAUAUCGUCCAUUCAGAGUAAACCAAUGGAGAUAGCGAUGCUCUAAAUUGUUAACUCAUUUUGCAGUCUGCAGUAUGAAAUCUUGAGCAAUGCUGAUGAUUAAUCAGCGGCUCUAACGCUUACAGGAUCUUUCAUGUAGAAUAAUUGGAUUGUGUAAGGAAUCGAUAUUUAUAUCUUGUCACACAAUCUGGAUUGUAUCUAUUUCAGAGAAGAUGUCACAACGUUUUCGUCAUUAUGAAAAUAAAAUGUUGAAAUUUGAUACAAUAUUAAACCAUAUUUUUAUCAGA